UUGCACGUAGCCUCCCGGGCAAUUCUGAGAUACAGUGUGAAGAACGAGCCCCAAAUGCUCGUGCCAAAAAGACGUCGCUGUCUGUGUUGCAGUCUAGCCAUUGUACCACUUUCUAUCCAUAGCUUUUCUGUGUCAAUUCGACGGCUACAUUU
rnacentral:snoRNA from 1 species